rnacentral:snoRNA from 1 species
UUGAGCUUAUGAUGAUACAAAGUUAUCCCUGUCUGAAAAAGAAGUCUUUCUGACUGUGGAGUUGUAGAUUCUGAAGCUCAG